AGAGGAAGUUUUGCCAAAAGAAAUUCAAAUUUGCAGUCAAAAUCCAAUGAGAUCUUAUUAGCGAUGAGAUAACUGUGCUUCAGUUUUAAAAAAUGAAAUAUUAAGAACAUGGGAAAAAAUAACCGGAAAAGAAAUAUUUGCAAAAAGGAAUUGAAUUAAGAAAGAACAUUAAUUGUUGAUUUGAAAAAAAAACAUGCUUGGAUCAUUGUGCCAAUUGGUGCACUCUCGAAAAUGGAAAAGGGUUUGGUGUUGAAAUAAAAAAGGAUAAACAGUGCAAGAGAAGUACCUAGAGUUGAAGAACAUCUAUCAAACAUCACCGCAGAAUUGUUUUUAAUUUAAAAGACGAUUCUGGUUAAAACAUUGGUAAAAUUGUUGUAUUUAUUUAUCUAUUUCUUGAGGUAAAUUUCAUCUGACAGCACAAAUGCUGGAGGCAGAUGGCAUCAGAGUCUAGAGAAAAUUGUCUCAUCAAAACUGAGCAGAGUGGACAUCUUAGUGCAGGUGUACUGACUACGAAAAGGCAAAAUUAUGGAGACCUCGGAACAAGAUUGUAUGUUUACUGAGGUUUUCCGAAGACGUCUUCUGGCAGAAACAUCUUGGAGGACAUUGGCCAAGAAGGAGGUACAAACUACAUGAGGCUACAACAUGAAGCUUCACUCUAACCUAUGAUGUCUACUUUUGGAACUUUUUCAUUUCUCUCAAAAUGCUUCUCAAUUUGGAAAGGCCUUUGUCUAUAAAACUAGGAAACAGUCAAAAUCAGGCACAACUGAACCCCCCCCCCCAAUGUUAUCAUCUUUGCCCAAAUAUUCAAAACUGAUUGGUAAUGAGUGAUAUGAAAUGUUUGACCACAAAUCUCGGUAAAAUGUAAAGUUAACCCCUUGUCAUUUUUUGGCCAAUUUUGCGUUGAAAGUGAAAUUGCUGCAAACUCGCAGUGAAGAUGCUCAACCUGAAGCACGUUUCUACACGUCUCCUGGAUAGAUAGGACAAAAUCAAUCAGUAAUGAAAUGUUUCUUCAAAAAUCAUUUACUUUUGUGCAAUACAUUCAAGUUGUUUAUUGAUGAAUACUUAAUGAAUCUCCUCUUGCAUCAACAGGGAUUUCCGUGUCGUUUGUAAAAAAGUAACCCUUUGAUCAAUUUAGUGGAAAAUGUAAGGUUAACCCCUUGCUAUUUAUAAUUAAAUUUUGCUACAAAUCGCCUUGUCUUUAUUUUAACCUGAUAUCAGAG